CUUGUUUAUUUGUGGACCCUUGAUUGAAGAUAUCUUAUAUGUUGGGCCCAGCCAGGGCUGUGAAGAUAACCUGCAGCUUUUCCUGCAAGGAGCACUGCGUAUCAUGUGUGAGGGGAGACACGUGGACCAACACAAUGAUGAAUGCUGUGUAUUCCAAUAAGGGGGUGGAUAUAAAACCUGGAAGACAUGCCUGACCCCUCCGGGAGAGUUACAGAAGACCCCUGGAGGAACUGACAUCUAAGUGAAAAGUACCUAAGAUGCCAGGAUUCUCCAAGGAACUAAAAUAAAUAAAAAGGAAAAUACAUUUCUGAUGUGCUCCAUCUGCUGUGAUUUCAACAGAUGCUCCAAGUGGAUGCUCUGAGAAUAGGACCCAAAAAGUCAGCACCAAACCUCCCUUCUCUAGAAAUUUAACUCUGCGCACCUCCAGUCCACUAGCAGUAUUUAUUUCUACCACUUUGAAGAAUCACGCCACACAUUUUGGGGCCACUGCUGUGCUUUCUGCUAAGCCACCAAGAGUUCUACCUGCUACUGCUUUUGCACCACUGGUAAAAAACAACACAAUGAAAAAGG